GGAGCGUUCAUUUUGGCAAGGAAAUGUGCUGAAUUUUGCAAGGACAUGGAGAAUAAAGAGUUCAAGGAGUCAGAGGUCAGUGGGAAUGACCUCACCCUCAUAGACCUGGAUGACCCCAUCAAUGACGGUGAUGUUAUGAAGGAAGACAGAUCUGAUAAAGAUCACAGAGAGGUUGAGAGACAGACC